rnacentral:tRNA from 1 species
GGGCCGUUAGCUCAGUUGGUUAGAGCAGGGCACUCAUAAUGCUCGGGUCGCAGGUUCGAGUCCUGCACGGCCCA